rnacentral:rRNA from 1 species
ACUCCUACGGGAGGCAGCAGUAGGGAAUCUUCGGCAAUGGACGAAAGUCUGACCGAGCAACGCCGCGUGAGUGAAGAAGGUUUUCGGAUCGUAAAGCUCUGUUGUAAGAGAAGAACGGGUGUGAGAGUGGAAAGUUCACACUGUGACGGUAUCUUACCAGAAAGGGACGGCUAACUACGUGCCAGCAGCCGCGGUAAU